rnacentral:misc_RNA from 1 species
UGGUUCUGGCAUCGAUGAAGAACGCAGCGAAAUGCGAUAAGUAAUGUGAAUUGCAGAAUUCAGUGAAUCAUCGAAUCUUUGAACGCACAUUGCGCUCCUCGGUAUUCCGGGGAGCAUGCCUGUUCGAGCGUCAUUACACCUCUCAAGCAUUGCUUGGUAUUGGAUCUCAUCCAGAGAUGGAUGUGUCCGAAAAAGAGUGGCGGGCCAAAUUGGUUUUCAGCGUAGUAAAAUUUUCCCACUGUUAAAUCAAGAUGAGCUCUUGCCAAAAUGUUUAACUUCAAUGAUUGACCUCGGAUCAGGUAGGGAUACCCGCUGA